rnacentral:rRNA from 1 species
GAUGAACGCUGGCGGCGUGCCUAAUACAUGCAAGUCGAGCGAACGGACGAGAAGCUUGCUUCUCUGAUGUUAGCGGCGGACGGGUGAGUAACACGUGGAUAACCUACCUAUAAGACUGGGAUAACUUCGGGAAACCGGAGCUAAUACCGGAUAAUAUUUUGAACCGCAUGGUUCAAAAGUGAACGACGGUCUUGCUGUCACUUAUAGAUGGAUCCGCGCUGCAUUAGCUAGUUGGUAAGGUAACGGCUUACCAAGGCAACGAUGCAUAUCCGACCUGAGAGGGUGAUCGGCCACACUGGAACUGAGACACGGUCCAGACUCCUACGGGAGGCAGCAGUAGGGAAUCUUCCGCAAUGGGCGAAAGCCUGACGGAGCAACGCCGCGUGAGUGAUGAAGGUCUUCGGAUCGUAAAACUCUGUUAUUAGGGAAGAACAUAUGUGUAAGUAACUGUGCACAUCUUGACGGUACCUAAUCAGAAAGCCACGGCUAACUACGUG